AACGUUAAUCGGGGCAGGGUGAGUCGACCCCUAAGGCGAGGCCGAAAGGCGUAGUCGAUGGGAAACAGGUUAAUAUUCCUGUACUUGGUGUUACUGCGAAGGGGGGACGGAGAAGGCUAUGUUGGCCGGGCGACGGUUGUCCCGGUUUAAGCGUGUAGGCUGGUUUUCCAGGCAAAUCCGGAAAAUCAAGGCUGAGGCGUGAUGACGAGGCACUACGGUGCUGAAGCAACAAAUGCCCUGCUUCCAGGAAAAGCCUCUAAGCAUCAGGUAACAUCAAAUCGUACCCCAAACCGACACAGGUGGUCAGGUAGAGAAUACCAAGGCGCUUGAGAGAACUCGGGUGAAGGAACUAGGCAAAAUGGUGCCGUAACUUCGGGAGAAGGCACGCUGAUAUGUAGGUGAAGUCCCUCGCGGAUGGAGCUGAAAUCAGUCGAAGAUACCAGCUGGCUGCAACUGUUUAUUAAAAACACAGCACUGUGCAAACACGAAAGUGGACGUAUACGGUGUGACGCCUGCCCGGUGCCGGAAGGUUAAUUGAUGGGGUCAGCGCAAGCGAAGCUCUUGAUCGAAGCCCCGGUAAACGGCGGCCGUAACUAUAACGGUCCUAAGGUAGCGAAAUUCCUUGUCGGGUAAGUUCCGACCUGCACGAAUGGCGUAAUGAUGGCCAGGCUGUCUCCACCCGAGACUCAGUGAAAUUGAACUCGCUGUGAAGAUGCAGUGUACCCGCGGCAAGACGGAAAGACCCCGUGAACCUUUACUAUAGCUUGACACUGAACAUUGAGCCUUGAUGUGUAGGAUAGGUGGGAGGCUUUGAAGUGUGGACGCCAGUCUGCAUGGAGCCGACCUUGAAAUACCACCCUUUAAUGUUUGAUGUUCUAACGUUGACCCGUGAUCCGGGUUGCGGACAGUGUCUGGUGGGUAGUUUGACUGGGGCGGUCUCCUCCUAAAGAGUAACGGAGGAGCACGAAGGUUGGCUAAUCCUGGUCGGACAUCAGGAGGUUAGUGCAAUGGCAUAAGCCAGCUUGACUGCGAGCGUGACGGCGCGAGCAGGUGCGAAAGCAGGUCAUAGUGAUCCGGUGGUUCUGAAUGGAAGGGCCAUCGCUCAACGGAUAAAAGGUACUCCGGGGAUAACAGGCUGAUACCGCCCAAGAGUUCAUAUCGACGGCGGUGUUUGGCACCUCGAUGUCGGCUCAUCACAUCCUGGGGCUGAAGUAGGUCCCAAGGGUAUGGCUGUUCGCCAUUUAAAGUGGUACGCGAGCUGGGUUUAGAACGUCGUGAGACAGUUCGGUCCCUAUCUGCCGUGGGCGCUGGAGAACUGAGGGGGGCUGCUCCUAGUACGAGAGGACCGGAGUGGACGCAUCACUGGUGUUCGGGUUGUCAUGCCAAUGGCACUGCCCGGUAGCUAAAUGCGGAAGAGAUAAGUGCUGAAAGCAUCUAAGCACGAAACUUGCC
rnacentral:rRNA from 1 species